rnacentral:lncRNA from 1 species
GGCAUAAAAAGAUAUACUUAUCCGACCUAACAAUUUAUCAUUUUUUAUCAUACGUCUUUAGUAACAAGUAAAAUUAAGACAUAUUUUAGAAAAUGAAAAUAAAAAUAUUUUCACGAAGUAAAGAGAUAUUAGAUUUUAUCCAAAAGUCUUAGUUCAACUGACAAAAUGCUGAAAUUGUUAGGCUGGAUGCUAUGAUCGGGGUUCGAAUCCCGGUACCUCCACUUGUAUGUGAGUUUAUAAUGAUUUUGUCAUUUUAUCUAUAUAACAAAAAAAAAAAAAAAAGAGAGAGAUACUAGAUUCUUUUUUUCUUCAAAUCCAAUCCAACAUAAGCUAGAAACAACAAUCCUAUAUUUAGAAUUUUAUUCAUUUUUGUAUGAUUAUAUUUUGUUCGAGAAGCACACCCUUACAAACAACAUUACAAGUUAGCAACAACAACAUAACUGCACUAUCACAAGGAAGACACACUCCUAAUCUUCCACUUAUUUAAUAUUUUGCAAAGCCCUAAAACAUAUUUCUACGAAUUUAUCACUCUACAGCUCUUCCUAAUCUCUCCAUCAGACCCAGUUUUUGGAUUUAUAUUCCCCAUCUUGAUCAUAGAUUUGACAAAGUCUCCAAAGAAAAGCGUAGCAUUAUCGUUGUAGCUUUGAACUAAUGGUUUAGAAGUUGAAUUUGCCUCAUCAGUAGAAAUCAAAAUCUGAUCAGAACUAAGAAGACCCUUUCCGUUAAGCAAGUUCUUAUAGUAAUGAUUAUCAAAGAGAUCAGUUGAGUUCCUAUCAAGAACUGCAGUUGUGUUUCCAUCCCCAGUUUGAGGACACAAAUUUUGUAGGUCGGUUAGCAUACCGGUUUCCAGUGUACUGUCUGGUGAACCUGUUCCAGAAAAAUUGAACAAUCUAUUGCUAAACAGUGCACAUCUUGCUCUCCCAAUCGUAUGAGCACCUUCACAAAUUAAGCAUAUACAUAUGAGCAAUUUAAUUAAAGGUAAAAUUAAGCAAGUAGAUCGAUUCAAGUGUUACUUAAGGUCAAAUCGUUUAGGAGCAACAAGUUCAACAUUUGAUUUUUACAAUUAUUGACCGUACUUUAUGUACCCGAUCGUUGAAUACCUAGUUACUAUGGUUCGCUUUUACUAAAAUCAGAAGGUUAAUAUAAAAAAAAUUAAAAAUCAAACUUAAAUUCUAAGAGUUGCCAUCUCUUCCAAACUAGCUAACAAUCUUUAAGGGCUUUAGAUUUGAGUCUAACUCAAUUCUAAAAAUAGGAUCAUCCCCUAUUUUAGGCCUAUAUAAUUUCUAUGGAUCUCCACAGUGAAAUUCACUAUUUACCUGAUAAAGAAACAACAUCUGUGAGAUUGAGCCCUACAUUGGUAAACUUUGACACAAUAGUAUCUAGUGGGUCAAAUGGAGAAGGAAGCACCACAUUUGCUAGAGAUCCAUUUGAGAUUGUUCCGUCUCUUCGUCCUAACAUAACACUCCAUGAAGGACCACCACUCUGCCAAACAUUAUAUAAUGGUCAUGAUAUAGUUUUUCUAAAAAGUAUGAAAGAAAUUUAUUAUUAUAGUCUAUAUAAGUAAUUAAUUGAAAUUAGAUUUCAUAUUUAGUUUUAUGCAUGCUCCUUGACUAUAAACAAAAUAUGUAUAUGAAUAAAUUAAGAACGUUAUGGGAUUGGAAUAUAUAAUUACAAGAAGAACAGAAUCUCUGGCAGCUAUGGCAAGUAUAUCAGCACAUGAGACAACUCCGCUACACGCACUUUCCACUGCCGUUUUGAUUGUAUCAACAACAUCAAAUCCUCUAACAGAGUUGAUAUUAGGAAAUGCAGACUUUUCAAAAUCAUCGCCACCAUCUAAUAAUAUUGAUCCAUCACAACCCUGAUAAUCAAAAUAAUAAUUUG